GUUGCAUUUCUCCUCCUUUUCCUCUUUCUACUCUUUCCCGUCUAUUUUCUCCCUCCCCUCCCCUCCAUCCAUCCCUCCACCCCUCCUUUUCAGAGAGGAGGAAGAGGAGGAGGAGGAAGAGGAGGAGGAGGAUGAGGAAGAUGAUGAGAGUCAUGAUAUCACAGAGACCACUAGAAAGGUCUUCCACAGCCGACACAUAGGCCACGUCAUGGCGCUCCCUGGCAGGUCCCAGGGUGUAGCCAGCGCCAGCGCCCCCACCACCCCUGUACACCGCUCCCAGGGUGUUGCCAGCGCCCCCACCACCCCUGUACACCGCACCUUUGCCACCUCAGGGGCACCACAGCUGGACUCCAAGUCUGACAGACCUUCUCUGGGGAGCUUGUUGUCCUCCUCCUACAGACAACACCAGGAGUCUCUGACUGCAGAGAGAGAGAGGAGGAGACAAGAGAGGGAGGAACGACUGCAGAAAAUCGAGAGGGAGGAGAGGACCCGCUUCAAGUGAGUCCCAACCUGCAUCACAUCACACUACUCAUAGAUGGAAUUGUCCUUUUGACGUUUACAUU
rnacentral:lncRNA from 1 species